AUGGAACUAAAGAUGAAGAGGAAUGGUGACAUUAAGUCCCUUUUCUGGAAUUAUGAGGCAAAAAUAAGAAAGGUUGCAGCCCCUCCUGAAGAGCAACCUGAACCUGAUAUUGAUCCACCUCUAAUCCAUUCAAAUGCAGAGAUUGACAUUGAUAUUUAUCCACCUCCAGUCCAUUCGGAUGCAGAGAUUGACAUUGAUAUUGAUGAUGAAGCGCCACGGCAAUCAUCACCCCAAGAUCCACAUGCAAGGUCAUAUAAUAUUCAAAGGCUUCCACCUAAUCCAGGGGAAAGGAUUCCUUUUUCGGAGUACAAUGUUGAUGAUCAAGAUGAAGUUCGGAGACGGUACAUUGCAAAGAAUGUAGUCCAACCAUAUGCAUACAACUUUGAAGUCAAGAAAAUGUAUGGUAAAAAUUGA
rnacentral:rRNA from 1 species